CCCGCGCCGGCGCCGGCGCCGGCGCCGGCGGGGGCCUAAGAGACCCCGGGCUGCCUGGCGGCCUCGGGCUGGCGCUCCCCGGGCGGCCUGGGAGCCUAGGCCGGCUUCCGUGGCGCUCCUUCUCCCUCUGGUGGUCGGCAGCGAGGCGAAGUUGUUUCCGUGCUCUGAAGGGGGGAGGCAGUUAAGUUGCAAGCCCAGCCUCUGGUUCGAGAGAAUUUGCAAAGAGAGCUAACAGUUACUCUUGUGACCCUCCAGGAACGUCUGCAAUGUUAGCGUCUGAAGCUUGACACUCCAGGGCCACGGCUUGCUUCAGGCAGUGCCCUGUGGUUCUAGUAAAAGCUUCAGGUGUGUGUGGGCGUCGCUGUCCUGCGUGCAUCUUGCCAGAGGCCAUGAUUCUGUUCUCUGCAAAAAUGGGAUGAAGAGAUGCAGGGAGAGGAAGGUAUUAGACUCGCAGAAUUUGGGGAUAAAAGUGAGAUGGGCCAAAGGGAGGAACAUUGCUUGACAAUUUGGAAGGAGGAACAUGAUGAUGAAUCCAAGGUAUGUCAUAUGACCGAUUUUCACCACCACUACAAAACACCAAGAGAAAUCACUAUAUGUUGACUCACAUGCUGCAAAUCUUUCAAGCAGCAUUUUUAUUUAACUUAUUGCUUGAUGAUUUGAAAGGCAGAGUGACAGAAAGAGGAAUGUGGCUCACUUCACAGAUGCUUGCAACAGAUAGGGAUUGGGGGCAGGCCAGAGUCAGGAGCAAGAACUCCCAUCUGGUUCUUUCACAUGGGUGGCAGGAGCCCAGUGAUGAAUCAGUCAUCAUUUACUGCCUUCCCAGGCACAAUAACUGGAAGCUGGAUCAGAAACACAGAAUAACUGGGACUUGAUCCAGGCACUUUGAAAUGGAAAUUAACCUUCUGAGGCAGUGGAAGACCCACUGGGCCACAAGGCUUGCCCUCAAGAAUCUCCUGACUGAGGUGACCAUCAUGAGCUUAACUGACAACCAGCUCCUCAAGCCUUUCAUUAUAUUAUUUCUCCAGCAUUUAUUAUCUCCUAAUUUAUUUAAUUUUUUUUUUAUUUUUUUGACAGGCAGAGUGGACAGUGAGAGAGAGAGACAGAGAGAAAGGUCUUCCUUUGCCGUUGGUUCACCCUCCAAUGGCUGCCGUGGCCAGCGCACUGUGGCCAGCGCACCGCGCUGAUCCGAUGGCAGGAGCCAGGUGCUUCUCCUGGUCUCCCAUGGGGUGCAGGGCCCAAGCACUUGGGCCAUCCUCCACUGCACUCCUGGGCCACAGCAGAGAGCUGGCCUGGAAGAGGGGCAACUGGGACAGAAUCCGGCACCCCAACCGGGACUAGAACCUGGUGUGCCGGUGCCGCAAGGUGGAGGAUUAGCCUAGUGAGCCGCGGUGCUGGCCUCCUAAUUUAUUUAUUGCUUAUAUUAUUAUUUUCAAUUUUUAUUCAUUUGAGUUUAAACACCACAAAAGAAAAGCCACUCAUUUUGUGAAAGUACAGAAAUUAAAAAGUACAGAAUUAAUAUGACUUUCUGGUACAUAUUAAAUGGCCACGUAGAGGCAAUGAAUUGAGAAUAAAUUAGCAAA